ensembl:processed_transcript 4921529L05Rik RIKEN cDNA 4921529L05 gene
GAAAAUUCUAUUGGGAUGUAUCCCGACCUACAGCCACAGAACUUCAGAGGCUCAACGUGGGGUUUUCCUUGGUAACUUAGAAGGCUUGGGAUAAAAGUGAGGAUGUUUUUCCAGAGUGCCUCCCUGUUGUGUCAUCGGGCAGACUAGAAGAAAACCCUGGUGCAGAUUGUGGAGUCUCCAGACUGCAGACUUAGUUUCCUGUCAUACAUUAUGCAUGGAGGGCUACUGAGAAGAUUAACUAAGAUACUGUGACCAAAACAUCUGCUAUCCAUAUAAAAACAGCUACAGGGAGCAAGAGUGCGAUGCCUGCACCGGAGUGCGGAGAGCCGGAUGCUCAAAAUUCAGUGUUUCCAGAGGUUUAACCAAGGAGAGAAGAACCACUCUGAAUAUGGGUGUCACCAUCCUAUCGGCUGCGGUCCUGGACUGAAUAAAGCCAAAAAAGGGGAAAGCCUAGAACCAAUGUUCACAUCUCUGCUUCCUGCCUGCAAAUGCUGCCGAUGUGACCAACUACGUCAUCUCCUGCUACCGCUACGUCAUCUCCUGCUACCGUGCCUUCCCACCUUAGACUGUGACCACCCUAGACCACCAGCCAAGAUAAACGUCCCCUCCCUUAAGUUGCUUCUUGUCAGGUAUUUAGUCAACAGCGGUGAGAAAAGCAACUGAUGCAAUGGUGCGACACACCAGCCUGAAUAACCUUGGACUCCUGAUAGAUCUUGAUUCAUCUGUAAUCCCUGAGGCAUUCUGCAGCUAUACGAGCCAGGCAUGCAGCUUCAUCUCUGCAUCGCGGAGCAUAAGGUCUCUCCAUCGUGUAUAGACAACCUUUAUGGACAAGUGUCUGUCCACUUCCUAGUCAACACAGAAUGUUAGGUCUCAGGUAGUACAAAUAUGCAACAUGAGCUCUCAGCUGAGCUAUAGAAAGAUUUCUGGCAGUCAGAUAAGAACAAAUGUUCUUGAGGAACUCGUGAAAUGGGCUUUCUGUCCACCAAAAGGAGUCAAUUUCCUUGACCUACACACACACACACACACACACACACACACACACACUAGCAUCCUGGCCCUUCUCUCCUUCCCUAAACUCCCAGGCCUGCUCCAAGUCUCCCCCAGCCACUAUCCUCCUUUUAAAUGAUUUUUAAUGAUUUUACACUCUGCCCUUGCUAGGCCACUUCUCUCACAGAUAGGCCUACCUACGUCCAGUCUGUUUCUUUUUCUCUCUGCUCUGGACUCUUCCGGAUACCUCUUACCCACAAUUCUCUCUCUUACCUUCACCCUUAAUGGAGCAGCCACUCAGACAGGCAGGUGUUUUACUAUCUCCCCUAGCAUACAAAGACUCAGUAAAAGCUCUUUCCUUCUGUCUGAACUGUUGGCUUCCAGGGAGAGCCCGUGUCUCUGCUAAGCUGGUGACAGAUGACACUCUCUUUUAUGUUAAGAAAUCAUGGAAGUAACAUAGUUUAACAUACUCAUAAUAUACUCAUGUUUCUAAGUUAUUUACUAAUAAAUGUGUUCUAUACUGUGUGUGUGUGUGUGUGUG